UGGGGAAUAUUGCACAAUGGUCGCAAGCCUGAUGCAGCCAUGCCGCGUGUAUGAAGAAGGCCUUCGGGUUGUACAGUACUUUCAGCGGGGAGGAAGGGAGUAAAGUUAAUACCUUUGCUCAUUGACGUUACCCGCAGAAGAAGCACCGGCUAACUCCGUGCCAGCAGCCGCGGUAAUACGGAGGGUGCAAGCGUUAAUCGGAAUUACUGGGCGUAAAGCGCACGCAGGCGGUUUGUUAAGUCAGAUGUGAAAUCCCCGGGCUCAACCUGGGAACUGCAUCUGAUACUGGCAAGCUUGAGUCUCGUAGAGGGGGGUAGAAUACCAGGUGUAGCGGUGAAAUGCGUAGAGAUCUGGAGGAAUACCGGUGGCGAAGGCGGCCCCCUGGACGAAGACUGACGCUCAGGUGCGAAAGCGUGGGGAGCAAACAGG
rnacentral:rRNA from 1 species